rnacentral:rRNA from 1 species
UACGAAGGGGGCUAGCGUUGUUCGGAAUUACUGGGCGUAAAGCGCGUGUAGGCGGCCCUGCAAGUCGGAUGUGAAAUCCCACGGCUCAACCGUGGAAGUGCAUUCGAAACUGCAGGGCUAGAGUCCUGGAGAGGAAGGUGGAAUGCUUGGUGUAGAGGUGAAAUUCGUAGAUAUCAAGCGGAACACCGGUGGCGAAGGCGGCCUUCUGGACAGUGACUGACGCUGAGACACGAAAGCGUGGGUAGCAAACAGG